GAUGAAGAACGCAGUGAAAUGCGAUAAGUAAUGCGAAUUGCAGAAUUCAGUGAGUCAUCGAAUCUUUGAACGCACAUUGCGCCCCUUGGUAUCCCGAGGGGCAUGCCUGUUCGAGCGUCAUUUCACCACUCAAGCCUGGCUUGGUGUUGGGCGACGUCCCCUUUGGGGACGCGCCUCGAAACGCUCGGCGGCGUGGCACCGGCUUUAAGCGUAGCAGAAUCUUUCGCUUUGGAAGUCGGGGCCCCGUCUGCCGGAAGACCUACUCGCAAGGUUGACCUCGGAUCAGGCAGGGAUACCCGCUGAACUUAAGCAUAUCAAUAAGCGGAGGA
rnacentral:misc_RNA from 1 species